rnacentral:sRNA from 1 species
GCUGAUUUGUGCAGUGGUAUUUACAACUAAUUGAUCACAACCAGUUUCAAAUUCCUUUGUUCCUGCUCCACUCCCACAGCUUCACUUGACUAGGCUUAA